rnacentral:lncRNA from 1 species
UGAGUAGCUGGGAUUACAGGCAACCACCACCACGUCCAGCUAAUUUUUUGUAUUUUUAGUAGAGACGGGGUUUCACCAUGUUGGCCAGGCUGGUGUCAAACUCCUGACCUUGGGCAAUCCACCCACCUCAGCCUCCCAAAGUGCUGGGAUUAAAGGCGUGAGCCACUGCACCUGGCCUAAAAAAUUUUUUAAAUAAGUAAUGGCUGUCUGGACAGGAUUUGUGAGGAUCAUCAUCUUAAAUAACGUUUUAAAAGUGUGUGUGUGUGUGUGUGUGUGUGUGUGUGUGUGUGUGUGUGUGUGUAUGGAGGCUGGGGUGGGGGAUGGGACAGUGGAGGGAACCAGCCAGGCAUUAUUUCCGAUUUCAAGAGAUGCAGAAAGAAGCCUCAGAGCUUCCCUUAUCUGAUUAAAAGCAGCAACUGCUGAGAAAUGAGGCUGCCAUAAAUUCUCUUUUGGCAGGUCUACUCCCAGAAAGAAAAGCAAGAAUACACCUGUUAUAAAUCCCCUCUCUGGUAUAGUUUCAUGGCCAUGAAGAAGAGGGAAAGAACACUGCACUUGCAGAAACAUAUAUCAUUAUGAAAUUUUGUAUCUUCUUUUUGUUCCCCUAAAAAUCCACUUAUUCUUCUUCCCUUAAGAAAUCUAUUUGCGGCCAGGUCUGGUGGCUCACACCUAUAAUCCCAGCAAUUUGGGAGGCCGAGGUGGGCAGGUCAUUUGAGGUCAGGAGUUCAAGGCCAGCCUGGCCAACAUGAUGAAACCCCUUCUCUACUAAAAAAUACAAAAAUUAGCCGGGCGUGGUGGCACGUGCCUGUAAUCCCAGGUACUUUGGAGGCUGAGGCAGGAGAAUCACUUGAACCCAGGAGGUGAAGGUUGCAGUGGGCCGAGAUCACACCACUGCAACUCCAGCCUGGGCGACAAAGCAAGACUCCAUCUCAAAAAAAAAAAGAAAGAAAGAAACCUAUUUGCUCCUGUCUUAGAAUAAAUUUCUUCCCCCUCCCUUUCCUCCACUCGUUAGGUAUGCUGUAUAAGCCUCAAACUUUAUACAAUUAGAGAGCUGAAUUCUUACAUUAACUUGUCUUUUGUCAUUUUAAUCUACAGCCCCCCCCCCACAAUGAACCUAAAAGGAUAGAGAAAAAUAUUUUCUUUCCUGAUAAAUCUGGUGUAAGAAUUGUUGAAUGAAGAAAUACAAAGAUUGAGUGAGGCAUGGGGAGGUUCUGAGAUAAUGAUUUAGUUAAUGAUGCUUCUAAGAUAUGAAUAAUUGAAACAGUGGUGGUAGCUUUGACACUCCAUUGCAAGUCUAGCCAAGCCAAUUAAAAAACAAGAGUCUUAAAUUUUUCUUCCACUAAAUUUAAACAAAUCACAGCUCUACUUAAUGCUUUUAAUGUUAUUUUUUAUUAAGACAACAUAAUUUAUUAAAUACUAGUGGCAAGGGAGGGAAUUUUCAGUAGUAGGUCACAUACUAUAAGAACCCUUUGAAUAUGAUAGAACCAUUCAGCAACUCAGGAAAAUAGAUACUAUUAUGACUUUUUCACACAUUAGUCACUACUAUUCAGAGCAAGAAGUAACCUUCCCAAACCUGUCAACUAGCAGGAAAUGAAGCUCCAAAGCCCAUCCAUCCUUCUCACACAGAUAGAAAAGUUCCCUUGAGAGCAGUAAGCCGGGAAAGCUUUCCACACUCAUGAAGUCCUCUAUAAAUUCACUGUAAUACUGAUGGUUUUUCAAUCAGAAAAAACCAAACAUCUAGAUUUGUUAAUGCUUCACUUUGCUUCAUCAUUUGGGUAGGUUUUACAUCUCUUCCGUUCAACACACUGGAAAGGACAAUCAAAAUCUGCCAUGCCCUUCACCCCGAGAAAGUCUCCACCCAGACCCUGGAGCCUGAAAGUUCUUGGGAUUUUCUUGUCUCAUCAUUCACAUGGCUGUGACAAUAUUCUACACUCCUGUGAUGCCCUGUAGCCCUACCCAGACUCCAGCGUUUUUACUUCCAUUACUCCCACCCCGGAGCCCCCACAGUGAGUGCUCUAAGACCCAUUUAUAAAUGCCUCUUUCUUCCAGGGUCCAUCUGAACCUCAGGGUCCUCUAGGAUACCCAGGACCUCGAGGGUUAAGGUAACCGACCUCCUGGCUGGGGAUAAAGGAAUGUGUUCAGGGGAGCAAGAUGGGGUCUCAAGAGUUUGGUCUUUUUAACCCACCUCUAUCCCCUCACCACUCUACCUCUGUUCACCUCUAAGUCCAGGGUAGAGAUGGAAUUCGGAGUCUGAAGGGCCAUGAGGGUGCAAAGGUGAGCACCGUGCCCCCAGCUUCCCAGCACCUCACUCCUGCCUGCCCCAUGCUACCCUCUAGCUCCUGAGCCCACCCUUCCAGCCAUGUUCUCAGAAUCCUACAUUAGAACCCCCAGCCCUCUCUCAUCUGUGGGGUCCUCUCACCUCCGUCUUUCUCAAGGGAGAACGACUGUCUUGGAUUCAAAGGUGACAUGUGUGAAGGAUAUCAGGUUGAGUGAAGACCUCACGCUGGCCCCUACUCCGUGUCCUAAUGAUGCACUCUGGAGCCCCCAAGCACCAGUUCAUUCCCUGGAGGCCCUGGGCUCCCCAGUGCUGUGCAUCCUUGGGGGCCUGAUCCCUGCAGGACUGUAACCCCAUGGUCUGCAACACGCUGGCCAUGGAUGACGACACUAUUCAUACCCUUCAGCGUUCCCUGUCCCGCAAUAGCUCCUGGGAUCUACCAGCCCCACUCAGCCUCUCUGGUGACUGCUUCUCCUCUGGGCUCAGACCUCAUCCCCAGACCCCAACGCUCACCUCUCCCACCCUCUCCCUCCCUGACUGUGCUUCCUCCACAGGGAACAUCGGGUGGUGAUGGCCUCCAUGAUCCCCCAGAGAAAGGGUGUGACUUGAGUGCCUUCUUCCUCUGUGCUCCCCAGGGAGCAGCAGCAUCAGAGUGCUCCCAGGGUGCCAAAGGGACACACUGGACCAACUGGAGACCCUGGGCCCCCUGGAUUCACAGCUGACAAUGGAUUGAGGUGGGUAUAGAAGAAGUCAAGGAAAAGCCCCUGUCAUGAAGAGUUGGAUGGAGACAGGCACAGAGUGGCCGCAGGUCCAAGCAGAGUGAACAUGCGUCCAAACUGGCAGUGGCAGCCCCUAGAAGGGAGACACCAACAGCACCGAGAUCUGUGGUCUCCAGAGCUGACAUCUCCUGCACUUGCCACGUGCAGGCGCUGUGCGGGACCUCCUCUCCAUCCUGUGAGGUGGGUGUGGACAGUCCUAUUUUGCAGGUGAGGCUUUGCAGAGGCACAAGCAGGCCAAGUCAUCACAGGGUCAUCAAAUGGCAGGGCAGGAACUGAGCCACAGUGGUUGAGCUGCAGAAUCACUGCUCCCAACCCCCUGCUCCACAGCUGCCUGGGCUGGAUGAGCCCUGGAGCAGCAGGAGGCAUACAGGGGAGCUGGGUGCUGCACCGCAUGGGCAAAGGGCCGGAGACGUGUGGGGAAACUAGUCCUGGUGAAGCAAGAGUGGGUGCUGGGGCAGAUGGAGCUGAGGGUGGCAGAUGGGCAGCAACUGGAUCACAGCAACCUUGAAGGACUUGACGGAGCUGCAGGCACAGGGAUGUCAGAUCCCAGCACUAGAGUUGGAGAAAAUUCACUCUUAGGAAGAAGGAGACUGGGUGUGCUGGCUCCUUCCUCACCCCAGGGAGGAAGCUGAGUUCCCCUGCCCAGCACCUGCCCCAUUCUCCUGACUCUGUCUACCUCUGUCUCUAGGGUCUCCCUGAACUCAGGGUCCCAAUGGAUUUCCUGGCCCCAAAGAGCCCCUGGGCACCCUGGGAAUGACAAGCUGCCGGGACACUCAGGCCAGAGAGGAAAGGUGGUGAGGGAGACCCCUGGCCACCAAUUCUCAGGAGGCCCCUCAAAUGCCAAAGCUGUCUGGGAGGCCCACAGAGACAUUUUCUGAGCAGAACAGAGCCUGCCCUAAUGCUGUCCACACCCACGGGCCGAGGCUUGAUGUGACCUUGUUCCUCUUCUGGAGCCCAGGCAUCUACCCUACAGCACCCACUGCACUCCCCCCUUUUCCUCUCAGGGUUUCCAAGGGGAGAGCAGCCCCCGUGGCCCCCCAUAUGUGGUGGGACCUCAGCUAGGUCUGUUCCCAGGAGAGAACGGCUCCCAGACCCUGGAGUUAAGUCUGUCUGGCUCUCUUCUCUCAGUCACACACCCCUGCCUCUGGCUCGCAUGUCUGGAACAGGUAGCUGGGGACUUGAGGGGGCUCAGAAAUCUCUCUUUUUAAUUUGGCAGCACGGAUGGCUGUCGCUCCUCACCUCUCCUUUUCUUUUAGGGUGUCCAUGGGGUUCAAGGGAAGGAUGUUCCUGGUCUGAGGGGCUUCCCAGGAGAGAGAGGCCUCCUAGGCACUGCUGGUUCCCCCCUAGGGAGUGAGGUGCAGCAGGAUCAAGGGACCCAUUGCCCCCCGCCAGGGUGCCCAGGCCCUCAGGAACCCCCUGGAUCAGCAGGAGAGACAGGUGUCCCAGGUGAAAAGGGCCCCAUUUGUCUGCCUGGCUGUGAUAGGGUGCAGAGUCCUGUGUGACUUCCUGGUCCUGCUGGGCCUCCAGGUGUGGCUGGAGAAGAUGGAGACCAAGAGGAGAACCCCAGAGAACCCGACCAAUCUUCUCUCCACAUGAGAGGGCUGAGGGCCCUCCUGGACCCCCUGGACUCACUGGUCCAUGGAACAGCCUGUAGCAGUGGUGAGUGAACCCUCGGCCCCCACGCAAGGCCCUGGCAGCCUCUGCUCUGCCUUCAACUCCCCUUUGCCCCUGAGGCUGGGUUUGGGAGUGGGGUCUCUGGGCCUGGUACCCAGCUAUGUAUGGGGUUCGUGAAUAGAGAAUGCCUGACCCAUGACCCAUGUCUAUGUCCUUGUCCCUGCUUCUCUCCUUCCCCAGGGAGCAGAUUGGGAGCCCAGAGCUCAGGGACCCCAGGGACACUUUGGAGCCAGAGUGUGGGGAGCCAAAGGCAAUAAAGGUAGAACAGGAUUCAUGAAUCUAUAGGUGAGAUGCGGCUGGGGACGGGCUGAGAGGCAGUGUCAGGAUGGGGUGAUGUGUGUCCCAGACCCUGCCAGCAACAUGCUUUAAGGACUGGGUUGGUGGGGGCAGAAGCCUGGGGGCCAUGUGGGGUCUGAGUGGAGGGGCUGUGGGACCCAUCAGUCUAGGGCUGUGCUUUGGGUGGGUGGUCACCUGGGUCCAUGCUUUCUGCACCUGCAUAGCGUGUGCCAGGUCCCUCUGGGGAGAAGGGAGAAACAGGAGAUGUGGGUCCUAUGGUGAAUGUGACCCCUACUGACCCCAGACCCCAAAUGGUCACCCCUGCCUGGCC